CGGAGGGGCGAGCGUUAUUCGGAAUUAUUGGGCGUAAAGGCGCGUAGGCGGCUUGAUAAGUCAAAGGUGAAAUCCCUCGGCUCAACUGAGGAACUGCCUUUGAAACUGUCUGGCUUGAGGCCGGGAGGGGGUAGCGGAAUUCCCAGUGUAGCGGUGAAAUGCGUAGAUACUGGGAGGAACACCGGUGGCGAAGGCGGCUACCUGGACCGGUUCUGACGCUGAUGCGCGAAAGCGUGGGUAGCAAACAGGAUUAGAUACCCUGGUAGUCCACGCUGUAAACGAUGGGUGCUCGGUGUCGCGGGUAUCGACCCCUGCGGUGCCUUAGCUAACGCGUUAAGCACCCCGCCUGGGGAGUACGGUCGCAAGGCUG
rnacentral:rRNA from 1 species